rnacentral:rRNA from 1 species
GACGAACGCUGGCGGCGUGCUUAACACAUGCAAGUCGAACGGAAAGGCCUGCUUUCCCUUGUGGAUUGCGGGUACUCGAGUGGCGAACGGGUGAGUAACACGUGAGUGAUCUGCCCCCAACUUGGGUAUAAGCCUGGGAAACUGGGUCUAAUUCCCGAUAGGACUGCAGGGUGGUGCCUGUGGUGGAAAACGAUUUUCUAGUGGUUGGGGAUGAGCUCGCGGCCUAUCAGCUUGUUGGUGGGGUAAUGGCCUACCAAGGCGGCGACGGGUAGCCGGCCUGGGAGGGUGGACGGCCGCAUUGGGACUGAGAUACGGCCCAGACUCCUACGGGAGGCAGCAGUGGGGAAUAUUGGACAAUGGGCGGGAGCCUGAUGCAGCGACGCCGCGUGGGGGAUGACGGCCUUCGGGUUGUAAACUCCUUUCGACCGCGAGGAAGCCACCUGGUUGGAAGGGUGGUGACGGUAGUGGUAGAAGAAGCACCGGCUAACUACGUG